UGCAUGGUGGUGCAGUUGGUAGCACUGUUGCCUCCUUCUUGCAGCUAGAAGGUCCUGGGUUCAACUCCCGGCUGGGUGCUUUGCAU